UCUGCAGAGGAGGGAUUUCUCUUUGGGUUCUUUAAUUUUUUUCUCUUCCUCUCUUCUUCUGCUACUCCUUUCUCAUCUCAUCAUCUCCUCAUCCACCGGAUCUCCACCGCGGUCUCCGGGCUCUCCAUGCCCGGCCACCGGGCUCUCUUCCCCGGGCUCCAGGCUCUCCAUCCCCGGCCCUCCGGAGCUCCAUGCCCGGCCUCCGGGCUCUCCACGCCCGCCCUCCACCUCUCUUCCCCGGCCCUCCGGAGCUCCAUGCCCGGCCUCCGGGCUCUCCACCCCGGGCCUCCAGGCUCUCCAUGCCCGCCCUCCGGGCUCCCCGGGCUCCAGACUCUCCACGCCCGCCCUCCACAUCACUUCCCCGGGCUCCGGGCUCUCCAUCCCCGGCCCUCCGGAUCUCCACCGCGGUCUCCGUGCUCUCCAUGCCCGGCCUCCGGGCUCUCCACCCCGGGCCUCCAGGCUCUCCAUGCCCGCCCUCCACAUCACUUACCCGGGCUCCGGGCUCUCCACCCCCGGCCCUCCGGAGCUCCAUGCCCGGCCUCCGGGCUCUCUUCCCCGGGCUCCGGCCUCUCCAUGCCCGGCCCUCCGGAGCUCCUCCCCGGGCUCCAGACUCUCCAUGCCCGCCCUCCACCUCUCUUCCCCGGGCUCCGGGCUGUCCAUCCCCGGCCCUCCGGAGCUCCAUCCCCGGCCUCCAGGCUCUCCAUGCCCGGCCUCCGCGCUCUCUACCCGGGGCCCGCCCUCCACAUCACUUCCCCGGGCUCCGGGCUCUCUUCACCGGGCUCCAGGCUCUCCAUCCCCGGCCCUCCGGAGCUCCAUGCCGGGGCUCCGGGCUCUCCACGCCCGCCCUCCACCUCUCUUCCCCGGGCUCCGGGCUCUCCAUCCCCGGCCCUCCGGAGCUCCACCCCGGCCUCCAGGCUCUCCAUGCCCGGCCUCCGCGCUCUCUUCCCGGGGCUCCAGGCUCUCCAUGCCCGCCCUCCACAUCACUUCCCCGGGCUCCGGGCUCUCUUCCCCGGGCUCCAGGCUCUCCAUCCCCGGGCCUCCGGAGCUCCAUGCCCGGCCUCCGGGCUCUCCGCCCCGGGCCUCCACAUCUCUUCCCCGGGCUCCGGGCUCUCCAUCCCCGGCCCUCCGGAGCUCCAUGCCGGGGCUCCGGGCUCUCCACGCCCGCCCUCCACCUCUCUUCCCCGGGCUCCGGGCUCUCCAUCCCCGGCCCUCCGGAGCUCCACCCCGGCCUCCCUGCUCUCCAUGCCCGGCCUCCGGGCUCUCUUCCCCGGGCUCGGGGCUCUCCACCCCCGGCCCUCCGGAGCUCCACCCCGGGCUCCGGGCUCUCCAUGCCCGGCCUCCGGGCUCUCUUCCCGGGGCUCCAGUCUCUCCACCCCGGGCCUCCACAUCUCCUCCCCGGGCUCCAGGCUCUCCAUGCCCGCCCCCCCACAUCACUUCCCCGGGCUCCGGGCUCUCCAUACCCGGCCCUC